rnacentral:rRNA from 1 species
UACGGAGGAUGCAAGCGUUAUCCGGAAUGAUUGGGCGUAAAGCGUCCGCAGGUGGCAAUGUAAGUCUGCUGUUAAAGAGUCUAGCUCAACUAGAUAAAAGCAGUGGAAACUACAUAGCUAGAGUACGUUCGGGGCAGAGGGAAUUCCUGGUGUAGCGGUGAAAUGCGUGGAGAUCAGGAAGAACACCAGUGGCGAAGGCGCUCUGCUAGGCCGUAACUGACACUGAGGGACGAAAGCUAGGGGAGCGAAUGGG